rnacentral:rRNA from 1 species
UGGGAAUUUGGACAAUGGGCGAAAGCCUGAUCCAGCAAUGCCGCGUGUGUGAAGAAGGCCUUCGGGUUGUAAAGCACUUUUGUCCGGAAAGAAAUCCUUGGCUCUAAUACAGUCGGGGGAUGACGGUACCGGAAGAAUAAGCACCGGCUAACUACGUGCCAGCAGCCGCGGUAAUACGUAGGGUGCAAGCGUUAAUCGGAAUUACUGGGCGUAAAGCGUGCGCAGGCGGUUUGCUAAGACCGAUGUGAAAUCCCCGGGCUCAACCUGGGAACUGCAUUGGUGACUGGCAGGCUAGAGUAUGGCAGAGGGGGGUAGAAUUCCACGUGUAGCAGUGAAAUGCGUAGAGAUGUGGAGUAAUACCGAUGGCGAAGGCAGCCCCCUGGGCCAAUACUGACGCUCAUGCACGAAAGCGUGGGGAGCAAACAGGAUUAGAUACCCUGGUAGUCCACGCCCUAAAACGAUGUCAACUAGUUGUUGGGGAUUCAUUUCCUUAGUAACGUAGCUAACGCGUGAAGUUGACCGCCUGGGGAGUACGGUCGCAAGAUUAAAACUCAAAGGAAUUGACGGGGUCAUAGCUGUUUCCU